rnacentral:rRNA from 1 species
UAACACGUGGGUAACCUGCCUUAUGGAGGGGGAUAACAGAGAGAAAUCACUGCUAAUACUGCAUAAGCACACAGUACCGCAUGGUACAGGGUGAAAAGAUUUAUCGCCAUAAGAUGGACCCGCGUCUGAUUAGCCAGUUGGCAGGGUAAAAGCCUACCAAAGCAACGAUCAGUAGCCGAUCUGAGAGGAUGACCGGCCACAUUGGGACUGAGACACGGCCCAA